GAAAAUAUACAGAAUAUUUUUAAAGUAAAAUGUUAUUAUUUAUAUAAAAUUUUAAUUUUCGUUAUAUAUGAUUGGAUAGUUUAAUCUAAUAUUUAUCUAUAUAAUUUAUUUAUUUUUGACUGCAUAAAUAAAAUGAAUAAUAUGGAGAUUAAAGGCGGAAGAGAAGACAUGUGAGCCUGAAAAGAUUAAAUAUUCAACUCAUAAAUUAUUUUUCUUCAUAUUAUAAUACCAUAUUUCAUAUAAUUAUUUUGUAUUUUGAACUAUUAGACAUAUUUUUGUAUCAAAUUGUAGAUAAUAUUCUAUACAAAUUAAACUAUUGAUUGUAUGAUGAUGAGAAUUUCAAGUGGCUCGUUUAGGGCUCGAGCUCGCUCGACUCGAAAUUAGGCUCGCUCGAGCUCGGCUCGAAUUAAUUUCAAACCAAGCUUGAGCUUAAAUUUAGGCUCAAAAUUAAUUUCAAGCCGAAUUUGACCC
rnacentral:lncRNA from 1 species